rnacentral:lncRNA from 1 species
AUGCUGACGGCAUGGGAGAUGUGGAGGGCAGGGGAAAGAAGGUGUGGGCUGUCAGGAUCUCUCUUCAGCUGUGGUCAGAAAAAAUAUUUUCUUUCCCUGAAAACUGAUCCCAAAGUGGUCCCAGAUGUGAAGACAAGGGAUGUCAGAAUACUAAGAAAAUACUUAAACCAGACGAAGUUUGAGAUCUCUCAGGAAGACUUAGCAACACUGACCCUACCAUGAGUAAUACAACCCAAGUCCUUUACUAACACCAUUUAAAAUUAUUUG